CUGCUUCCCUAAUUCAUUACCAAUUAGUCCGGGUUUAAGAAAUGUGUAAAUUGUUUCGAAGCGCUCAAGCGUAACUGUCUCGGGCUGAGGUGACUAACUCUCUGACAAAGCCCUAAAAGCGAAUGCAGAUCACCAUCGCUAUAUGAUCAGCGUCCGCCAACUACCUACAUAGUUAUGAAAAUGACCGCGUCAAAAUAUCUUACUAUAUUUACCAUCUAAAAAAGAGACAUAACAUCGCGGGUCUCCCCUUUCACGCAGGUGGUCCUCCUGCCUCAGUCAAGGCCGGGGGGUACGCGCGCCCCCGGCUGAGUGAAGACACGGACAGAUGCAUGCGAAUUUAGUCAUUCAGGUUGCUGGUUGUCCCUGAUUGCAGACCUGCAGCCGUCACUUGCUUUGAACAUCUGGCAUAAUGACCAGUUUCUGCAAUCGCAUAGGACUGAAGUUGUCAACAUUCCUGUCUGUAAACCAUAAUUUAUAAUGAUCAUAUGGUAUAAACAUUCCUGAGGAUAUUGCUUCUGAGAAUAUGAAUAUAGUAUACAUUAUGUAUACUAAUGUAUGUACGUUAGUUUUUAUAUUUGUGUUCGUUAUGUUGGAGCAAUGUCUUGGCUUUUAUAGAUCUAUAGCUAACUGAACAGAAUUGUAUAUUUUGUUAAAUCCAGUUUAUACAGUGGCGGUGAUUAUAUAUGAUAUUACAUAUGUCUACUUACUAAUUAAUACUAGUUAAUAGAUUGAUGGAUUUAAAUUAAUUUGAAUUGGCUGUAGUGCUUUAUGACAGUAUUAUGCAUUUGCUUAUCAUUUACUGCUAGCGUAUCCUAACAUAAAUCAAGGCACAUUCAACAUCUGCAUCUGCAUACCGCUGAUUUUCUGACCACUAGAGGGCGCUGAGCAGCUCUCUUGUUUUAAACAAAUAAAUCAAAGCUCACAGGUUGCCCCAAAAACAUGAACUGUCAGAAUAUAACAAAUAGGAAUCCAUUAGUUAAUUAUGGUGAAAAGUUCAGACGAGGCUGAUGUAAGUAAUCUUUUCACAUUGCCGUUAUAUUUAGGCAUUCUGCAGGACCACAGAGUCAACUCUGGACUGCUACCACUAUCUCCGGCUGGUUCACAGCCCCCCGCCCUCUGCUUGGAUUACUUUUCUCUCAGCAUCUUUAGUAAGUAAGUUAGUUAGUUAGUUACUUUAUUGUCAUGUGUUUCUGACACAGGUGCCUAGAAACAAUGAAAAGCUUAUUCACAUGCAUCACAUAUACUGUACAUUGCGGUGGGCAGUGGUAGCUCAGUGGACGGUUGCUGGUUCAAGCCCCACCACUGCCACUGUUGGGCCCCUGGAUAAAAGCAUCAGCUAAAUGCAGCCAAUGUAAAUGCAUUGCAGCUGAACACGUAUAUAAAAUAUCAAUCCCUAAUAAAAGAUAAUUCAAUACAGUGUAAAAAAAAAUGUAACCAAAAUACAUUUUAAAACCAAUCCUCCUGAAUCCUCUUUCACUUCAAGAACUAACUAAGGCUCUCCUCUUUUGGACUGCUGACAUAAACAACAGCUUCACCCAGGGGCUGACUCGUUAUCUGAUGUCAGUCAGGGCUCCCUCCUAAGUUAUUGACCUGAUCUUUAGUGGGCACAGACUAAUAAUCAGGGUUGACGUUUAUUUAGCAAAUAUGAAAAGAUUUGCUUAAUUGCUGCUCGGCUUGCCUCAAAGGUGGUGGCGACAUGUUUGUAUAUGAUCAUCAAACCUGCUGGGUAGAACCUCAUAGUUUCCAUUUUACAGAUUUUUUUUUUUUUUUUUACAGGUUUAUACAGAUUUAUUAACAUCCAAAAUGUGUACACUUCCCCCUUACUUCAUUAGAAACAUUUCUUAAUAUAAAUGCUCUGUGAGGGUACAGGUGGAGACCAGAGCCCCCCUGUUGCAUUUCAGAAAUUGUGUUACCCGUUCUCCUGCUCUCUAACAUUGGUCAGGUUCUGACCACAGGGUGCACUGUUGCCCGGAGUUUUCUGAGGGCUCAUCCAGUCUCAGCCAUGCAGUGACCUUACCACAGGCAAAAAUUCUAUUUCAGCACUACUGUGUUUGGGGCACUACGGUGGCUGGUGCACUACUGUGUCUGGUGCACUACUGUGUCUGGUGCAGCACCCUCUACCAAGUCACUGCCAUGUUAGUGUGACUACAGUGUUGAGAAUGGUCCACUACCCAAAUAAUAUCAGUAGUUGCCCUGUGGUCAGAAGUGGGCAAUUGAUGAACAGGAUACAGAGUGAAUACCAACAGAAUUGUUCAUACAUAAAAUGCACAUAUAUGAUAAGUGCACAUAAGAAAGUUGCUUUUUACUGUAGGUGCAAGUAUUUCUAAUGAAGUGGGCAGAAUGUGUGUUCAGCCAUGAUGUGUAGGUUCUUUUAGGCACCUUUGCAAAUGACUGGUUGAUUGUUCCUUCACAAUAAAAUCCACCAAGAGGAGUGUGGUGGUCUGAAGGUAGCAAUAGCACUAGGUCAUCAGUCCCUGUAUGGGCCUUUAGAGCUUCAUUCUAUAAGACUGGACAAACUGCUCGAAUUUGCAAUAAAGCAAGCCUUCAGACUCUCUUUCCAAUGAUGCCUCGACAGAUUUACAUUUAAACAUUAUUGUUCACCAUUAUUUCAUAAGUUGACCCCAUAUUUGGGAUUGGUAAACAAUUAUAUGAAAGAUUUGUCUGGUGUUAUAAGAAAAGUACAGUAAUAAUCUUAGUUAUUGAAACACUUAAACACUUAUCAUCAGAAAGAACAUAGUUGAUUCAAAAGGAAAAAAAGUGGAUUGAAUCUGUACUGUAAAGUAUUAUGUAAUGCUUUAGGAGGUGUUAAUAACAAUCUUAAGGCUUAUGUCUUCAGUUCAAGUCUUUCCUCAUGUCACAUUUUUACAAAUCGGGAGCUCUGGAGGAGAAGUGUUGACACAUUGCAAAUGUUUUUUACGAUUACCCUCAACAGCCUGUCAAGAUCUGGUCUGCUUAAGUGCGGCUCCUUUUUACUAAAGUUGCAAACACAAGUGACAAAUGUCCUGUGAUCCAUUGGCGCGUAAAGGAAAAAAAGACAACAAAAAGCAUCGAGGUGCACAUGUUGUUCUGCACAGUGAAAGUACCACUGAACAGACACAAGAUGAGAAAGGUACACUCACACCUCUAGUUAUACCUUAUUUAUACCUUUGCAACCUGUUCUUAAGAACUGUUGGUAAGAUUUUGAAAUGUAAUUCAACCUUUGAUGAUAAGAUACUGGGAUUUCUCUGGACAUUUGAUUGAUCUAUGAGUCCUUGGUGUUCUUAUGAGUCAUCUACUGUAGGCUAUGUAAAACCCUGAAAAGAGAAUAAUCUGCAAAAUAUGUUUUACAAUGACAUAAAAUUGUAUUAAACCAUUUUUAGAAUACUAGCUAUAAAAAAACCCUCAAACAACUAAACAACAAACACAAACUACAGACAUUUGCAGAUGGGAUCAAUUUUUAUCAUAUCUAUGCAGCACUGUAAAUCCCAUUUUCGUAUGAUAUGGCUCUUGUAAGACCAUAUACCUCCAGUUUGAUAAUAUAGCUAUAUUUCUCACAAAAGGCAUUAAUUAAUAAGGAGAAGCAAUAAGCAAUUUAAAAGACAGUAAAGGAUUGUUUUCAGACAAUUACAUUCUUCAUAAAGAGAGUCAUUGUCUACCAGUGCCAGAUUAGUAUGCAUAGAAACCAUUCUUGUUCUCCUGACCCUUAGUGUAACUAGGGUUCUUAGGUCAUAAUGUAAUUGGAGAUCACAUUCUGUUCUCUGUUUUGGCAAAUCCAGUACAUUCUCUCCCUGUUGAGAGGAAUGAAACUACUCUACUUUUUUUAAAGACAGAGAAACCUGUCAGCCAGAUGUUUUUUUUUUUUUUCUGUAAUGAACAAAGUGUAUGGUGAAGUAAGCAUUUUGACACAACAACAACAACAAAAAAUCUCAGAGCAAAAUUAAUGGUGGACAUAAUUUUCCAUGACCAAGUUAUUGUUUUAUAUGGUAGAUGAUUUAUGUCUUGCUUGGUUUACAUGCCAUCUAUUCUAUACAGUUGUGAUGGUAUUAAAGACAUUCUUUAAUGUCUGUUUUUUGUCUAAUUUGUGAUUUCAAUUAAGCACCUAAUUAUUCAAAGACACUUCAUGUCAUGUCUAGUUUAUA